GACGAACGCUGGCGGCGUGCUUAACACAUGCAAGUCGAACGGAAAGGCCCUGCUUUUGUGGGGUGCUCGAGUGGCGAACGGGUGAGUAACACGUGAGUAACCUGCCCUUGACUUUGGGAUAACUUCAGGAAACUGGGGCUAAUACCGGAUAGGAGCUCCUGCUGCAUGGUGGGGGUUGGAAAGUUUCGGCGGUUGGGGAUGGACUCGCGGCUUAUCAGCUUGUUGGUGGGGUAGUGGCUUACCAAGGCUUUGACGGGUAGCCGGCCUGAGAGGGUGACCGGCCACAUUGGGGCUGAGAUACGGCCCAGACUCCUACGGGAGGCAGCAGUGGGGAAUAUUGCACAAUGGGCGGAAGCCUGAUGCGGCGACGCCGCGUGCGGGAUGACGGCCUUCGGGUUGUAAACCGCUUUCGCCUGUGACGAAGCGUGAGUGACGGUAAUGGGUAAAGAAGCACCGGCUAACUACGUG
rnacentral:rRNA from 1 species